rnacentral:rRNA from 1 species
UACGUUCCCGGGCCUUGUACACACCGCCCGUCACACCACGAGAGUUUGUAACACCCGAAGUCGGUGGAGUAACCGUUUUUGGGAGGCAGCCGCCGAAGGUGGGGUUGGUGACUGGGGUG